rnacentral:rRNA from 1 species
UACGUAGGGUGCAGGCGUUAAUCGGAAUUACUGGGCGUAAAGCGUGCGCAGGCGGCUCCUUAAGUCAGAUGUGAAAGCCCCGGGCUUAACCUGGGAACUGCGUUUGAAACUGGGGGGCUAGAGUGUGGAAGAGGGGGGUGGAAUUCCAGGUGUAGCAGUGAAAUGCGUAGAGAUCUGGAGGAACACCGAUGGCGAAGGCAGCCCCCUGGGCUAACACUGACGCUCAUGCACGAAAGCGUGGGGAGCAAACAGG